UACGUAGGGGGCAAGCGUUGUCCGGAUUCACUGGGUUUAAAGGGUGCGUAGGCGGGCAGGUAAGUCCGUGGUGAAAUCUCUGAGCUUAACUCAGAAACUGCCAUGGAUACUAUUUGUCUUGAAUAUUGUGGAGGUAAGCGGAAUAUGUCAUGUAGCGGUGAAAUGCUUAGAUAUGACAUAGAACACCAAUUGCGAAGGCAGCUUACUACACAGUUAUUGACGCUGAGGCACGAAAGCGUGGGGAUCAAACAGG
rnacentral:rRNA from 1 species